rnacentral:piRNA from 1 species
CAGCAGAGCAGAGGAGCCACCAGAAUC